CCGGGCUGGGAUCGGCCCUGUCCCUAAAGGGCUCUGCAUGCUGCCACCCCAACAGGGCCAGGGGCACGGGGACACCACAACAGUGAUGUCCGAGACAGACAAGAACUAUACACAGCUUGACAAGGCUUGAGAUAGACUUGACAGAUGACUCAGAUCAGAAACACAAAGAAGCAGUGGGUCCUUCAGGUGGGUCAACCUACAAGAGUGUCCUGAGGACAAAGAGUAUCCAUUGAUCCAAAAGCACAAUCAGACUACAAAGGAGGUGAACAAAAGAUCUUAUUCCCUUCUGCAAAGCUUGAAGUUUGGCUUGCAAAUCACAGGCAGUGACUGAGGAAAAAAAUAAAAAUAUGUAAAAUAUAUACCUAAAAAUAUCAAUAAAUAUUUUAUUCCAGAAAGGCUGUAAUAACUGAAGGAUCUUACUUUUGCUAAGUGGGAGAAAGAAACUCAAAACCCUACAGAAGCACACAAAGGCUACAUAAAAAUACACCCAUAUGCAUAUGAUCACGUAGCCUGAGAAUCAGCCCAGAAAGGUAUAUAACAAAAUCACAAUAGUCAGGAUUUUAAGCAAGCAGCUUUUGGAAAUGUAGCUCUUAAGAGCAGGAGAGCACACAACAGAGCUGCCAGCUCUUCUUUUUUUCCCUCUGCAGGCCAUAAAUCUGCAGAAUCAUCUCCUGGUCUCUGGGGAAAUGCCCUUUGCCUGGCUGCCUUUGCUCAUUUUCCUGUUCCCAGGAAAAAAAAAAAAACCAAAA